GACGAACGCUGGCGGCGUGCCUAAUACAUGCAAGUCGAACGCACUCUCGUUUAGAUUGAAGGAGCUUGCUCCUGAUUGAUAAACAUUUGAGUGAGUGGCGGACGGGUGAGUAACACGUGGGUAACCUGCCCUAAAGUGGGGGAUAACAUUUGGAAACAGAUGCUAAUACCGCAUAAAACCUAACACCGCAUGGUGUAGGGUUGAAAGAUGGUUUCGGCUAUCACUUUAGGAUGGACCCGCGGUGCAUUAGUUAGUUGGUGAGGUAAAGGCUCACCAAGACCGUGAUGCAUAGCCGACCUGAGAGGGUAAAUCGGCCACACUGGGACUGAGACACGGCCCAGACUCCUACGGAGGCAGCAGUAGGGAAUCUUCCACAAUGGACGAAAGUCUGAUGAGCAACGCCGCGUGAGUGAAGAA
rnacentral:rRNA from 1 species